CAAUAGCGUAUAUUUAAGUUGUUGCAGUUAAAAAGCUCGUAGUUGGAUUUCUGCUGAUCGCUGUCGGUCUGCCGUCAGGUGUGUACUGGCAGUGUUUGGCAUCUAUUCGAGAUUGGGUGUCCACUUGAUUGUGUGCACUCGAUGUCGGAGCUAAUACUUUGAGAAAAUUAGAGUGUUCCACGCAGGCGCGUGCCUUGAAUACUGCAGCAUGGGAUAUCGGAAGGCCGAUUGAGCUUUCUUGUUGGUUCUCGGUUUGAUCGGAAUGAUUAAUAGGGAUAGUUGGGGGCAUUCGUAUUCAACUGUCAGAGGUGAAAUUCUUGGAUUUGUUGAAGACGGACUACUGCGAAAGCAUCUGCCAUGGAUGUUCUCAUUGA
rnacentral:rRNA from 1 species